rnacentral:rRNA from 1 species
UGGACAGCCUUCUGAAAGGAAGAUUAAUACAAGAUGGCAUCAUGAGUCCGCAUGUUCACAUGAUUAAAGGUAUUCCGGUAGACGAUGGGGAUGCGUUCCAUUAGAUAGUAGGCGGGGUAACGGCCCACCUAGUCUUCGAUGGAUAGGGGUUCUGAGAGGAAGGUCCCCCACAUUGGAACUGAGACACGGUCCAAACUCCUACGGGAGGCAGCAGUGAGGAAUAUUGGUCAAUGGGCGAGAGCCUGAACCAGCCAAGUAGCGUGAAGGAUGACUGCCCUAUGGGUUGUAAACUUCUUUUAUAAAGGAAUAAAGUCGGGUAUGCAUACCCGUUUGCAUGUACUUUAUGAAUAAGGAUCGGCUAACUCCGUGCCAGCAGCCGCGGUAAUACGGAGGAUCCGAGCGUUAUCCGGAUUUAUUGGGUUUAAAGGGAGCGUAGAUGGAUGUUUAAGUCAGUUGUGAAAGUUUGCGGCUCAACCGUAAAAUUGCAGUUGAUACUGGAUAUCUUGAGUGCAGUUGAGGCAGGCGGAAUUCGUGGUGUAGCGGUGAAAUGCUUAGAUAUCACGAAGAACUCCGAUUGCGAAGGCAGCCUGCUAAGCUGCAACUGACAUUGAGGCUCGAAAGUGUGGGUAUCAAACAGGAUUAGAUACCCUGGUAGUCCACACGGUAA